rnacentral:rRNA from 1 species
GACGAACGCUGGCGGCGUGCUUAACACAUGCAAGUCGAACGGUGACGCUGGAGCUUGCUCCAGCUGAUCAGUGGCGAACGGGUGAGUAACACGUGAGCAACCUGCCCUUGACUCUGGGAUAACCCCGGGAAACCGGAGCUAAUACCGGAUACGAACCGCAUAGGCAUCUGCGCGGUUGGAAAGAUUUAUCGGUCAAGGAUGGGCUCGCGGCCUAUCAGCUUGUUGGUGGGGUAACGGCCCACCAAGGCGACGACGGGUAGCCGGCCUGAGAGGGCGACCGGCCACACUGGGACUGAGACACGGCCCAGACUCCUACGGGAGGCAGCAGUGGGGAAUAUUGCACAAUGGGCGAAAGCCUGAUGCAGCGACGCCGCGUGAGGGACGAAGGCCUUCGGGUUGUAAACCUCUUUCAGCAGGGAAGAAGCGAAAGUGACGGUACCUGCAGAAGAAGCACCGGCUAACUACGUGCCAGCAGCCGCCGCCGUAA